GCCCUGUGGCUCAGUUGGUAGAGCAUGGUGUUUGCAAUGCCAGCAUGGUGUGUGUGCAACGCCAGGGUUGUGGGUUCGAUUCCCACGGGGGGCC
rnacentral:tRNA from 1 species